UGUCUGCCUUUUUGGAACUUGGAUCUGAGUGGACCUGGGUUCCACUCCUGCGAUGUGACAGUAGGAAACAGAUGUGAUGACCAGAGGUGCAGCAGCCACCAUGUGACCAUGAGGAGGACAUGUAUAGCUAUGACAGAGCAGGAAAACAGAGAUCCCACGUCCCCAGGGACAUCUUUGAGCUACUGUAUCAGCUCAGGACUGCCUUCUCCCAGACUUCUUAUUGGACAAGCCAAAUAAACUCCUCCUUUGUUUAAGUC